rnacentral:rRNA from 1 species
GACGAACGCUGGCGGCGUGCUUAUUCAUGCUUCUCGAUCGGAAAGGCCCCUUCCGGGGUACUCCAGCGUUGAACGGGUGAAUAACGACUGGGUAACCUGCCCCUGUGCUCCGGAAUAACCCCGGGAAACCGACGCUUUGCCGGAUACGACACGUGACCGCAUGGUCUGCGUGUGGAAAGAAUUUCGGCUAGGGAUGGACUCGCGGCCUAUCAGCUUGUUGGUGGGGUAAUGGCCUACCAGGCCACAACAGGUACCCGGCCUGAAAGGGCGACCGGCCACUCUGGGACUGACACACGGCCCAAACUCCUACCGGAGGCUGCCGUGGGGAAUAUUGCGCAUUGGGCGAAGGCCUGACACGCCAUCCCCCCUUGAGGGAUGACUGCCUUCAGGUUGUAAACCUCUUUCGUCCCCCACGAAGCCUUCAGGUGACUGUAGGCGCACAACAAUCACCGGCUAACUACUUGCCUCCAUCCGCGGUCAUACUUACGGUGCGACCGUUGUCCGGAAUUAUUGGGCGUAAAGGGCUCGUAGGCGGCCUGUCGCGUCUGCUGUGAUACCCCUGGGCUUAACCCCGGGUCUGCAGUGGAUACUGGCAGGCUCUAGUCGCUCCGCGCGAGACUGGAAUUCCUGGUGUAGCGGUGAAAUGCGCAGAUAUCAGGAGGAACUCUGGUGGCGAAGGCGGGUCUCUGGGCCGGUACUGACGCUGAGGAGCGAAAGCGUGGGGAGCGAACAGGAUUAGAUACCCUGGUAGUCCACGCCGUAAACGUUGGGCGCUAGGUGUGGGUUCCCUUCCACGGGAUCCGUGCCGUAGCUAACGCAUUAAGCGCCCCGCCUGGGGAGUACGGCCGCAAGGCUAAAACUCAAAGGAAUUGACGGGGGCCCGCACAAGCGGCGGAGCAUGCGGAUUAAUUCGAUGCAACGUGAAGAACCUUACCUGGGCUUGACAUAUACGGAAAACUGGCAGAGAUGUCAGGUCCUUUUGGGCCGUAUACAGGUGGUGCAUGGCUGUCGUCAGCUCGUGUCGUGAGAUGUUGGGUUAAGUCCCGCAACGAGCGCAACCCUCUUCUUAUGUUGCCAGCACGUAAUGGUGGGGACUCAUAGGAGACUGCCGGGGUCAACUCGGAGGAAGGUGGGGAUGACGUCAAGUCAUCAUGCCCCUUAUGUCCAGGGCUUCACGCCUGUUACAAUGGCCGGUACAAAGGGCUGGGAUGCCGCAAGGUGGAGCGAAUCCCAAAAAGCCGGUCUCAGUUCGGAUCGGGGUCUGCAACUCGACCCCGUGAAGCGGAGUCGCUAGUAAUCGCAGAUCAGCAACGAUGCGGUGAAUACGUUCCCGGUCCUUGUACUCAC